GUGCCAGCCGCCGCGGUAAUACGGGGGAUGCAAGCGUUAUCCGGAAUCAUUGGGCGUAAAGCGCCUGUAGGUUGUUUAAUAAGUCCGUUGUUAAAGACUAGGGCUUAACCCUAGAAAAGCGAUGGAAACUACUAGACUUGAGUAUGGCAGGGGUAGAGGGAAUUUCUAGUGUAGCGGUGAAAUGCGUAGAUAUUAGAAAGAACACCGGUGGCGAAAGCGCUCUACUGGACCAUUACUGACACUCAGAGGCGAAAGCUAGGGUAGCAAAAGGGAUUAGAUACCCUUGUAGUCC
rnacentral:rRNA from 1 species